rnacentral:lncRNA from 10 species
GCGUUCUUUUCGAGGUCGGCCGCGUGGCUGGAAGACAUGGCCACUCCAGUCGGUGUUGAGCACGGCGAGCAGUCUCAGGCCUUUAGUGAUGAUGGUGCAGUCAGCCUCAGUUUCCAAAGCCGGAAAAGGAUCCUCUAGUAGCCACGGUGUGGCAGCUGCUCUGAACCAGGACCUGGACCCGGACCCAAAGUGCCAUGUCUUUAAUGUUAGCUCCCAGCGAUGCCAGAUGGGAUCAGCACAGCCCUGCCUCUGCUGCUAAUUGUUCCUCUAAAGUAAUCGCCAUGCGUUCUUUGGGCUUCAUCUUUAAAGGAAUGAAGCAACUGAGAUUAUUCUGGAAAACCUUUUGGCAGUUAGUGAAAUUAGAGUACAACUAAGAACAUUUUCAGACCUCCACUGUGGAUGACCUGGGUAUAAUCUCACAAAUCGAUGGGACUGCAAGGAUUGUAAACUGAAAUGAACAUGAUUAUACUCUGUUGGAAGAGCCUAAGAGGAAACUGAUGCCAUGAGUUUCAGAGAGUAAUGCUUAACCCCAGUUACACAGGAUGCCGUCUUGUGUUUCCUCUUGUUUAGUUACCCACUACAGUGAUUUUGUGAUCUGCUAAUGGGUUGCCACCCACAACCAUUGCUUUAGCACUUUUACUUCAAAUCAAUGAAGGAUUGAUAAAAGUUCUCCUGGUGUCUCCGCAGAGUGCCUUCCAGGAACAGAUCUUUGCAUAGAAUAUCAGUGGUUUCCUUUUUUGUUUCAAAUAGUGGUCAGAAAAUACCCAGUGUUGACUCACCAAGGCAAUCAGCUUCCUUUUUCCCUUUUUUUGUUUUUUUUUUAACAUUUUAUAUUUUUGCUUUAUUUUAUUUUAUUUUAUUUUAUUUUAUUUUAUUUUAUUUUAUUUUUUGAGACGGAGUUCCACUCUGUCGCCAGGCUGGAGUGAAGUGGUACAAUCUUGGCUCACUGCAACCUCCACCUCCCGGGUUCAAGCAAUUCUCCUGGCUCAGCCUCCUGAGUGCUGGGACUACAGGCGCGUACCUUCUUUAGUAGAGACUGGGUUUCACCAUGUUGGCCAGGAUGGUCUCUAUCUCCUGACCUUGUGAUCUGCCUGCCUCAGCUUCCCAAAGUGCUGAGAUGACAGGUGUGAGCCAUCAGACCCAGCAUUUUUUUUUUUAAUUUAAAUUUAAAUUUUUUUUCAUUUUUUUGAGAGGUUUUUUUUGUUUUGUUUUGUUGUUGUUGUUGUUGUUGUUUUUGAGACAGUCUUGCUCUGUCACCCAGGCUGGGAGUGCAGUGGCAUGAUCUCUGCAACCUCUACCUCCCAGGUUCAAGCAAUUCUUGUGCCUCAGCCUCCCAAGUAACUGGGACUACAGGUGCACGCUACCACACCUGGCUGAUUUUUUUUGUUUUAGUAGAGACAGGGUUUCAACCAUGUUGCCCAGGUUGGUCUCAAACUCCUGAGCUCAGGCAAUCCACCCGCCUUGGCCUCCCAAAGUGCUAGGAUUACAGGUGUGAGCCACCACACCCAGCUAUUUUUUCUUUCGUUUUUUAAUUUUAAAGUUGGGGGGGGGUCUCAAUUUGUUACCCUGGCUGGUCUCGAACUCCCGGACUUAAGCGAUCCUCUGGCUCCAAGCCCACUACCAGUCUCAGGUUUCUUUACUAAAAGAUCACUACCUUUUUUUCUCUUAUCUGCUGCCAUGUGAGAUGUGGCUUUCACCUUCCGCCAUGAUUGUGAGGCCUUCCCAGCCAUGUAGAACUGUAAGUCCAAUAAACCUCUUUUGUAAAUUAAAAAAAAAAAAUCACUAUUUAAGAUACUAGGAUGGAUUGUGACUGUUGAGGAGUACUUACAUAUCCUACAUUUGACUACAUUAUUUCCAAACCAAGUAUUCCAUCCAAAGGAACAUACUGCUAUCAUAGAGACCAAGGAGGGACUGUUUAAGGUUGCCAAGGUGAAGCGAGCUGAGAGGCUUUGUCCUCGUGCCAGUAACUCUGAAAUCUCUCUUAAUUCCUGCUGUCCAGGCAGCAGAAUGCCAUGGUUUCCCCAAGUAGGUAGCUGCUUUAGCAGUUAAAGCCCAAAUGUCUGUUCUGUUGAUCAGAGGUCUCUGAAUUUCUGAAGUGGUGUUUCGUUUCUGGUGACUGAGUUAAUCCUUUACAAUCCCUCUUGUAAAGUGUGCUAAUAGAAAGAAUCCACCUUUCAAAGCUGCAGAACCAGACCGUGCCCUAAAUUGACCAACGUAACUGAUGUGCCUCAGGAAGUCUCUUGCCAGCUGUCCCUGUGAAGACCCCCCUCCUCCCCCCCAGCUGCUGCCUUGCACACUGAAGCAUCUCAGACUGUGCAAAGCCGUGUAGUCAUCAAGACAGUAAAUCCCAGGGCUUGGUUAAGUGCUGUGUGAUAACUUGUUUGGAUGAGACUUAACUUAAAACCACUUACAAUAAACUUGGGAAACUACCGUCA